ensembl:lncRNA
CAUCUAUACAGAUACAUGCACAGUUCUCCCAUUAUAUUGCAGAACAAAGGCAUCAGAAUACAAUACUACGCAGUUCACUGCUUGUGACAACACACCCAUGACACAGGGCUCGCGCCAUCGUCACCGGUUUUGACGAGACCUGGUUGGACCUCUAGUUGGCGUGACAACUUUGAGAUCCUGAACAUGUAAAACAAUUUCGUUGUUGCAGAUCUCGUCCAGUCUGUAUUUUUGGAUAUUCCUCGCCCACCUUGGAUUCACCUGCACUGGGUUGGAGAAUUACAGCGGCUUGAGCGGGCUGGACUUUAUUCCACUGAAGUUAUUAUCCGAUCGUCUUCCAACUCUUCUCACUGCUUGUUGUAUAUCAAAUAAACCCAUUUAAGCUCUUGCACUUGGAUCUCGAGGCUUGAUCAUUGUGACAAUAGGUCUCCUGUUAUUUUCUAAGCUUCUUAAACACAUCUAAGCAUUAGUCCCAGAAGUUGAAGCCAC